rnacentral:rRNA from 1 species
ACAAUGGGCGAAAGCCUGAUCCAGCCAUGCCGCGUGUGUGAAGAAGGUCUUCGGAUUGUAAAGCACUUUAAGUUGGGAGGAAGGGCAGUCAGCGAAUACCUGGUUGUUUUGACGUUACCGACAGAAUAAGCACCGGCUAACUCU